UACGUAGGGUGCGAGCGUUGUCCGGAAUUAUUGGGCGUAAAGAGCUUGUAGGCGGUUGUCGCGUCUGCUGUGAAAAUCCGGGCUCAACCCCGGACUUGCAGUGGGUACGGGCAGACUAGAGUGUGGUAGGGGAGACUGGAAUUCCUGGUGUAGCGGUGAAAUGCGCAGAUAUCAGGAGGAACACCGAUGGCGAAGGCAGGUCUCUGGGCCACUACUGACGCUGAGAAGCGAAAGCAUGGGGAGCGAACAGG
rnacentral:rRNA from 1 species